GCCACUCCCACAAACAUCUACGACCACGCCUACAUAGUUUUGCAUGUUUACAAUUCUAAUUUUGAACAGCCAAUCAGGUUCUUGGUAAUUGGUUGUUUAAAAUUAGAAUUGUAAACAUGCAAAACUAUGUAGGCGCGGUUGUAGACGUUUGUGGGAGUGGU